CUAAUUUUCGGUGGAAGUUUGCAUGGUAAUGUACAUCAUAUAUUUUUUUUAGUUUUAUCAUUCUCUUAUUUUAGAAGUUACAGGGGGGGGGGGGGGACACACAUUUUACCACUUUGGAAGUGUCUCUCGCGCAAACUAUUCAGUUUAGAAAAAAAUGAUGUUAGAAACCUCAAUAUCAUUUUUGAAGACCUAUCUAUAGAUACCCCACACGUAUGGGUUUGAUGAAAAAAAAUUUUUUGAGGGAUUUAUGACGUAUUAAAAAAAACUACUUACUAGAUCUCGUUCAAACCAAUUUUCGGUGGAAGUUUGCAUGGUAAUAUACAUCAUAUAUUUUUUUAGUCUUAUCAUUCUCUUAUUUUAGAAGUUGCAGGGGGGGGACACAUUUUACCACUUUGGAAGUGUCUCUCGCGCAAUCUAUUCAGUUUAGAAAAAAAUGAUAUUAGAAACCUCAAUAUCAUUUUUGAAGAUCUAUCCAUAGAUACCCCACACGUAUGGGUUUGAUGAAAAAAGAAUUAUUGAGUUUGGGUUCUAAGUAAGGGGAACCCCCAAAAUUUAUUGUUUUUUUUUUUUCUUAAAUAGUUUU